CACCGUGAGGGGAGUGAUUCGGAUGCAUAAUCACGAAAAGACUAACGGAUUGGUGAUACUUAAGCUAUCACUCAGGUUUUACAGAUCUGAUGAAAAAUUGGUGACAAACGUCAUACACUGCUUUAAAUUUUUUUCAGCUUUUUUUGU